AGGGCUGUAGCUCAGAUGUAGGGCACAUGCUUCAGAUGCAAAUGAACCCGGGUUCAAUCCCAGGUAUCUCUA